GAAUUCAACUCCUACGGGAGGCAGCAGUAGGGAAUCUUGCGCAAUGGGCGAAAGCCUGACGCAGCCAUGCCGCGUGAAUGAUGAAGGUCUUAGGAUUGUAAAAUUCUUUCACCGGGGACGAUAAUGACGGUACCCGGAGAAGAAGCCCCGGCUAACUUCGUGCCAGCAGCCGCGGUAAUACGAAGGGGGCUAGCGUUGCUCGGAAUUACUGGGCGUAAAGGGCGCGUAGGCGGAUAGUUUAGUCAGAGGUGAAAGCCCAGGGCUCAACCUUGGAACUGCCUUUGAUACUGGCUAUCUUGAGUACGGGAGAGGUGAGUGGAACUCCGAGUGUAGAGGUGAAAUUCGUAGAUAUUCGGAAGAACACCAGUGGCGAAGGCGACUCACUGGCCCGUUACUGACGCUGAGGCGCGAAAGCGUGGGGAGCAAACAGGAUUAGAAACCCUAGUAGUCCAGGCGUU
rnacentral:rRNA from 1 species